AGAAACUGAGGUCCAAAGGUGAAUUGUCCAGUUGGAAGGAAGAAAAUUAGGAUGUGAACCCAAGUUGGCCUGAUUUCCAGGGCUGCAUUCUUUCCACCAAGUAGCAGCUAUUCCUCCAGGGGUAUUCAGAGGACUGAUUGGAGAAAAAUUCAGACAAGGUCUGAGAACCGAGCACCACAAGGAGCAGGGAACGUUUUUGCCGGUUACUGGAACACUAGCUGCUGAGAUCAGCAAAGGAGAAAUCUCCCA